AUCUUUUUAAGAUAUAUUAAUGUGAAACCAGAGCCAUCUGUGAAAAUUCCAGAAUUUAUAUCAACAUAUUUACACUUGAAAACGGGGACUCUAAACCUCACAUAAUCCACCUCCCAUAUUUCUUGUAUUACUCCAAAAUAACUAAUUGGUGCAGUGAUUGGAUUUUUGUCUUUAGAACUACAGAAGUGCAUUGACUCAGCUUUUAGUGUAACCCCACUAUUUUGAACUCUACUUUUAUCAUCUUCUUCCUUUGUCUGAAAAGAGAUAUUGUUAAUAUAGUACCCACCAUAUGUAAUGACAUCUAUGUUCUGCCCCCGAGAUAACCUCAAUAGAGUUUU
rnacentral:lncRNA from 1 species